CUAAGGAAUAGUACGGAAACUACACAAGUUUGCAUUUGUUCAGUUUUGAGAGGUUUACUUCGGGGCCUUAGCUCAGCUGGGAGAGCGCCUGCUUUGCACGCAGGAGGUCAGCGGUUCGAUCCCGCUAGGCUCCAUUAGUAGAAAGUGAUUUCUACUAUAUGAUUUGUUCAUUGAAAACUGGAUAUUGAAAAGUAAUACAAAAAACCGAGAAAACACCGCGUUGAAUGAGUUUAAGAAGUUCAAUUGCUUUAUUAUUUAAAUGAUCUGAUCGCACAGAUCGAA
rnacentral:tRNA from 1 species